rnacentral:rRNA from 1 species
UACGUAGGGGGCAAGCGUUAUCCGGAUUUACUGGGUGUAAAGGGGGCGCAGACGGCGAUGCUAGCCAGGAGUGAAAGCCCGGGGCCCAACCCCGGGACUGCUCUUGGAACUGCGUGGCUGGAGUGCAGGAGGGGCAGGCGGAAUUCCUGGUGUAGCGGUGAAAUGCGUAGAUAUCAGGAGGAACACCGGUGGCGAAGGCGGCCUGCUGGACUGCAACUGACGUUGAGGCCCGAAAGCGUGGGGAGCAAACAGG